AUGGCCCCCGCGUCCUGGUACAUGACGCAUGAGCGCGCUCACCUCACGACGCCCACGGCCACGCCCCCUGCGCCCGCCCUCCUCCUGCCGCCCACGGCGCCCUCAACCGCGACCUCGGAGCCCUGCAACCACAACGGCAUGCUGUUGGGUCCCCGUGUGCAUGCUAGUGAUCUCUCUCUGGCCACAGCACCCGCCACCAGCGUCACUACAGCAGUUUCCUUACCACCUACAGCUAACCCCUUCGGUCCCCGGUUAUCUGCUCAUGGUCUCCUGCCGGCCACAGAGCUCACGACCACCGACCCUCCACCAGCACUCCGUCCGCUGCCUACGGCAUCUUCUAUCUAUAACCCCAUGGUUAUGGAAAGGAGAAAUCUGGCACUGCUGGAUUCAUUGGCUCUGGAGCUGAUUGAUGGUGAAACGGAAGCUGACGAGCACUCGAUGGAUGAGGACGACGAGUGGGAUCUUAAGGCAGCUUGGAAUGGAUUCCCAUUCCUAUGUAGGAUUGGUUCCUAUCCUUCACAUUUCAAAGAGGCCAGGUGCAAGGCCAUAAACAAUCCAAAGCAAGCGCAUGAUGAAGCAAGUUCAGCAAACAAUCGGGUUUUUCAGGGAGGGCAAAGAUCUAAGAAACUGAAAGUAUAU
rnacentral:rRNA from 1 species